rnacentral:rRNA from 1 species
AUUGAACGCUGGCGGCAUGCCUUACACAUGCAAGUCGAACGGCAGCACGGGAGCUUGCUCCUGGUGGCGAGUGGCGAACGGGUGAGUAAAGCAUCGGAACGUGCCCUGAAGUGGGGGAUAACGUAGCGAAAGUUACGCUAAUACCGCAUAUUCUGUGAGCAGGAAAGCAGGGGAUCUUCGGACCUUGUGCUUUAGGAGCGGCCGAUGUCGGAUUAGCUAGUUGGUGGGGUAAAGGCUCACCAAGGCGACGAUCCGUAGCGGGUCUGAGAGGAUGAUCCGCCACACUGGGACUGAGACACGGCCCAGACUCCUACGGGAGGCAGCAGUGGGGAAUUUUGGACAAUGGGCGCAAGCCUGAUCCAGCCAUGCCGCGUGAGUGAAGAAGGCCUUCGGGUUGUAAAGCUCUUUCGGCGGGGAAGAAAUUGCACUCUCUAAUACAGGGUGUAGAUGACGGUACCCGCAUAAGAAGCACCGGCUAACUACGUGCCAGCAGCCGCCGUAAAAC